rnacentral:rRNA from 1 species
UUUAUGGAGAGUUUGAUCCUGGCUCAGGAUGAACGCUGGCGGCGUGCCUAAUACAUGCAAGUCGAGCGAACAGAUAAGGAGCUUGCUCCUUUGACGUUAGCGGCGGACGGGUGAGUAACACGUGGAUAACCUACCUAUAAGACUGGGAUAACUUCGGGAAACCGGAGCUAAUACCGGAUAACAUAUUGAACCGCAUGGUUCAAUAGUGAAAGGCGGCUUUGCUGUCACUUAUAGAUGGAUCCGCGCCGUAUUAGCUAGUUGGUAAGGUAACGGCUUACCAAGGCAACGAUACGUAGCCGACCUGAGAGGGUGAUCGGCCACACUGGAACUGAGACACGGUCCAGACUCCUACGGGAGGCAGCAG